rnacentral:rRNA from 1 species
CAGUAGCCGCGGGAAUACGUAGGUGGCGAGCGUUGUCCGGAAUUAUUGGGCGUAAAGGGAGCGCAGGCGGACAUAUAAGUCCAUCUUAAAAGUGCGGGGCUCAACCCCGUGAGGGGAUGGAAACUGUAUGCCUUGAGUGCAGGAGAGGAAAGCGGAAUUCCCAGUGUAGCGGUGAAAUGCGUAGAUAUUGGGAGGAACACCAGUGGCGAAGGCGGCUUUCUGGACUGUAACUGACGCUGAGGCUCGAAAGCCAGGGGAGCGAACGGGAUUAGAUACCCCUGUAGUCCCUGUCUCUUAUACC